CUGCACAACGACUAUAAUCAUGUGCACAGUCCCUGUCGACAAGGGGGGCAACGUCACCUAUGUGCUGGAAUCCACUUCUGUGUGGGGACCAACAGCCGAGUAUACAUCUACUAAGUUAUACCUGGUCUACAGAUUAGGCGGUGGCGGUCAGUAUGUCUGUCUUUUUUGCGAUAGUGAAGCAAUAAUUUAUUGGUUAUAAGAUAUGGCUGUCUAGGUUAUUGAUCCUGCACUAUUGCAAAAGGGGCGGAUACUGAUUAAGAUAUAAUCGGUCGCUAUUGCCAGUAUAAAUAGCUGAGAAACGUUCCGUAGGUGAACCUGCGGAAGGAUCAUUAUCGAGUUAGGGUCCUCUGGGCCCCACCUCCAACCCUUGCCUAAAUUACCAUGUUGCUUUGGCGGGCCCGUCUUUAAACGGACCGCCGGGGACGUGCUCCCUGGCCCGUGCCCGUCAGUAGCCCCAAUUAAAUCCUUGAACGCUGAUGUCUAAAUACAAAUUAUAAUGACUAAAACUUUCAACAACGGAUCUCUUGGUUCUGGCAUCGAUGAAGAACGANCSAAAAUGCGAUAAUAAGGSCGAAUUGCAGAAUUCCGUGAGUCAUCGAAUCUUUGAACGCACAUUGCGCCCUUUGGUAUUCCGAAGGGCAUGCCUGUUCGAGCGUCAUUAUCAACCCUCAAGCCCGGCUUGCUUGUUGGGUCUCACCGCCAGCGAUGACGGUGGACCCCAAAGAUAAUGGCAGAGUCCUGUGGACCCUGGAUGCAGCGAGCUCUUCAGCACGCGUCUCGGCGGUUUUCGGGCUCAGUCGAAACCAAUAUGUUUUACCAGGUUGACCUCGGAUCAGGUAGGGAUACCCGCUGAACUUA
rnacentral:rRNA from 1 species